UCCUUUAACGAGGAACAACUGGAGGGCAAGUCUGGUGCCAGCAGCCGCGGUAACUCCAGCUCCAGAAGCGUAUAUUAAAGUUGUUGCAGUUAAAAAGCUCGUAGUUGGAUCUGGGUCGCAUGGCUACGAACCGUAGCUUAUAUUCCUGGCUUGGCUACCGUUGGGUCGGGUUUGUGAGUCGGUUUGUGGCUUUGUAGCCUUUCUGCUGUGUCUGUUUCGACAGGUGCCGAUGGUUUUACUGUUGGCAUGCUUCCAGAUGCCUUUAACCGGGUGUCGGAGGCGGACGGCAUGUUUACUUUGAACAAAUUUGAGUGCUCAAAGCAGGCUUAUGCCUGAAAAUUCUUGCAUGGAAUAAUGGAAUAGGACUUCGGUUCUAUUUUGUUGGUUUUCGGAUCCGAAGUAAUGGUUAAGAGGGACAGACGGGGGCAUUUGUAUGGCGGUGUUAGAGGUGAA
rnacentral:rRNA from 1 species